ACUUUUGCCCCGAAGGAGGGAAGCAUGCAAUUGUACCUGGGUAGUCAGGAGAGCGAUUGUGGGAGGAUUUCUGCGAUAACGGCUGUAUGAGUGUGAUGGGCUGUGUUCUGGGAACACUGGUAAGUCCAGAGGAGUGCGGACCUGAAAGGUUGAGAUCCCUUACUCCCGCAAGGGGGAAGGCCAGCCUGAAGGGAAGCAAACUGGUGUUAAGAGUUUUGAGUGGCCAUCAAAUCGAGAACCUCAGGGAACCAUAAUCAGGAAAACUCUUAAGAAGAUGGGUUGUUGUUAAAGCCAUUGUUGCCCAAACUCCUUGGACUUUGUAGUACACCAAUACAAAGCAGGACAGUGGGUGUUGAUAAAAGCUUGGAGAGAGGAAAAACUAACUCCAACCUGGGAAGGACUUUACAUCGUCUUGUUAACCACUGAGACAGCUAUCCGGACAGCUGAAAAGGGUUGGACCAUUACUCCCGAGUAAAAGGACCUGUGCCAGCCUCAGAGGAGUGGAAGGUGGAAUCUCACCAAGGAGAUCCACUGAAGCUAAAGUUCCGAAGGACUUCAUGGACUAAUAGUCAAUCUUCCUGACAGAAAGGGGGUUAAUAGAGGAAAAAGGACUAAACUUUAUAUAUCUUUUUCUAUCUAGAACCAAAGGAAAACCAAGACCUCCCACAUGUGCUGAUUUUGUGGCUACCUUUGUGGGUGUUGUUGCUGCUCCCAUUGUAUUAAUUGUGUUCAGUGCACAGGGUGUGAGAUAGAGUAUGAUAUUAAGUCUUAGAAGAUGUAUUGGAACAUUACAAGGUGGUAUGUCUGUUGGGGGUUUUCUUAUUAUACUCUUAAAACCUAUCCAACCAUUAGAGUCAUUUAAGCAAUGUGUAAAAAUGACAAAGGGAGAAGGAAAAAAUAUACACUGACUCCAAGUAUGUUUAUGGAGUCUUGAAUACAGGAGGAAGAAAAAAAAAGAAGUUAUGCUAGAGUGGCAGAAGGGAAGGAAGGAAUGGAUAAUAGAAGAAAGAAACAGGAAAGUUGUUUUAAGUUGGUUUGCACAGACUUGUGAAUUGCAUGCAUUAAGCAGAGAGACUGCCAUUAACGUGGUCAGCCCAAACAUGUGAAUUGUAUGCCAUUUACACAAGCCUUAGAAUGUUGAAGGAACAAGAAUGUACUAAAGAUGGGAGGUGGAUGUUGCAAGAUGGGAGGGGGAUGUUGAAAAGAAAAAAGAAAAAAAAACAAUAAAACAAUGGCUAGAACACAGAAGCAGCCACUGAAGGGGAGUCGCAAGGGAUGAUUAAUAUUUUCUAAAACAGGAUGGUUGUAUUUAUACUUUAGUUAAACAAAACAUGUGAUAAAAUUCAAGUUAAAAAAAAAAGCUUUAUAACAUUUAGUGGUGAGACCAUGUCAAUAUAGGCCUCAACUGGAAAGUUGUUUUUGUUUCUUUGAAAUGGGAGGCUUUUGUUACGUAAAGGUUCAAGAAUGUCAAUGAAGAAGAGAAGAAAGUUACUCAGUAUCUGCAUAAUGUGGUGCAGGUUUUGUCUUCUAUCUCAGUACAGGCCCAGGCUGCCUUACCACCUGUCUCUGGCCAUUGCUCCUGGAGAGUGGAUUCAGGUGAAAAGAACUGUCACCUAGAAAUACCAGUCCUGAGUGGUCUCAACCAUGCCAAGUCCUCCUGAUUUAAGGAAUCAAGGCGUGAGUCCAAGGAAAGUCCCAUCAUAUCCUCUCCGGUGAUAAACUCCGCAGCUGGACAGCCUAAAAAUGAAAUUUCAACCUGCCUCACCUGUUGAAUUGUUUCCAUCUAAGUGGGAGAAAAACGUCAAUGGAUUGGACGUAUUCCUAGAAUCUGGACUAUGUGUUGAAAAGUUUUUCUUCUGCUACUGUUGUUUCCUUAGUACCUUCUUUGGUAGAAGGAAGGACCAUGGGCCCAAUACUUUAAGGAACAUUGGAGAAAGAAGACUCAGAAUAUGAAAACUUGCUUGCACGGGAAUCUAAAGAAAAUAUAGGAAGUUAUGAACUGUUAAAAGUAUAAAAGAAUAAAUUCAGGUGGAAAAGAAAAAGGGAGGAUUGAAGGAAAUAAAAGUUAUUCUUUUAAUAAUUGUAGAAAUGUAAUGCCAUUAUAUGAAACUGUCUCUUUAGUACAAAUGUAACACUGUAACACAAAUGUAAUACCAAUAUAUGACCAAAUGUUUACUAUUCCCUGCCUAAAAAUCCUCCGGACACAGGAACUUACACUGAGUAGAAAUCUUACUAUCGAAGAGGGAGAUUUUGACCCAAGGUGAGAAUUACAAAUAAACAAGAUAACAGCAGAUGGACGGAAGAGGUCAGGUUAACAAAGUACAACUUCAGAGUACAUCUAUAAAGAUGAAAGAGCUGCUUAGAUGUGACAUGCAUUGUGGGGGUAUAAAAUGCAGAUCUUGAAACCAGGCCAGUGUGCUCCUGGAAUCCAAUCCAUAGGGAAGGAUCCAAGGGGGCACGUUUGCAAACGCUCCUCUCUUCUAUUCUUUUUCUUUUCUCUUUUAUUCUGUUUCUGUUAUUUUCCAAUAAACCUUUGUUUUGUUAA